rnacentral:rRNA from 1 species
UACGUAGGGUGCAAGCGUUGUCCGGAAUUAUUGGGCGUAAAGAGCUUGUAGGCGGUUUGUCGCGUCUGCCGUGAAAAUCCGAGGCUCAACCUCGGACUUGCGGUGGGUACGGGCAGACUAGAGUGUGGUAGGGGAGACUGGAAUUCCUGGUGUAGCGGUGAAAUGCGCAGAUAUCAGGAAGAACACCCGUGGCGAAGGCGGCUCUCUGGGACGGUACUGACGCUGAGACGCGAAAGCGUGGGGAGCGAACAGG